rnacentral:ncRNA from 1 species
CUCUGUUUCGUCUCGAUUCAGGGCAAAGUGAG